GGGGAUAUAGCUCAGCUGGGAGAGCGCUGCGUUCGCAACGCAGAGGUCAGGGGUUCGAAUCCCCCUAUCUCCA
rnacentral:tRNA from 1 species